UCCACUGCCUGUGACCUCUCAGACAGAAGGACCAGUCCUGGUCAAUGUGCAAUGACCUAGAUAGAUCCAUGACCUGGUCUUCACCCACCACCCACCGUCAGACUGGAACAGAAAGGCUGAUAUGCAGAGUGGACACGUCAGCCCUGUGUCCUGUUGGUUCCUGUGAGAGUGGGAUUCCUGCAGAGGCAACCCGAGAAUGCAAUGAAAUGAACAGAGCUCUGGCCAGGCCACAUAAACGCAGACGUAAACACACAGGAUAAUAACAGUCAGGCCUGGGAGGACUGUGUCUGUGUGUGUUCUCCGGCCAGUCUCCGCUCCGCUACUAAGUAGAUCCAGCUGGGCAGAGGUGGCACCAGUGAUGUUUAUCGGGGGCUUCAGCCCAUCAACUUAUUGUCAACAGUUCAAGAGACUGUCAGCGCACAGAUGGGAAAG